GACGAACGCUGGCGGCGUUCUUAACACAUGCAAGUGGAGCGACGAACCAGGCUUCGGCCUGGGGCAGAGCCGCGAACGGGUGAGUAACACGUGGGUAACCUGCCCUGAUGAUUGGGACAACCCGAGGAAACUCGGGCUAAUACCAAAUGUGCCCUCCGGCCGUAAGGCCUCUGGGGAAAGGAAGCUUCGGCCUCCGCAUCGGGAUGGGCCCGCGGCCCAUUAGCUUGUUGGUGAGGUAACGGCUCACCAAGGCUACGAUGGGUAGCUGGUCUGAGAGGACGAUCAGCCACACUGGGACUGAGACACGGCCCAGACUCCUACGGGAGGCAGCAGCGGGGAAUCUUGCGCAAUGCGCGAAAGCGUGACGCAGCAACGCCGCGUGGGGGAAGAAGGCCU
rnacentral:rRNA from 1 species